GUUCUACUUCCAUGAGUCUGAAGGAGCCACAUCAAAUUAAUAUGCUAGGACGCCAAAGUAGUGGAGACAAGAGGUUUAUUGAUUGAUUAUCUGAUGUUGAAAGGCUUAGGUUCUUAUCGUAAAUGGCUUGUAUUUUGUGUGUUACAUUUAUUGAUAUUAGGAUGGUUCUCCUUCAGGCUCUUGGAAAGCGUUCGCCUGUAUCUGUGUUGUAUUUUUUGGAGAGAUUCUAGUCUGAUUCUAGUCGUUUGAUUGUACAGUAUGUCUGUCGUGUAUGGUUGCUUUAUUGUUUUUCUGGGAUUAAGUCAUCUUGGUGCAGUAAUUGGUACUGUGUUGGUAGAAAAACCUACCAUAUUCCUUUUUGCGCUUGCUGUGGUAUCUUUUUGACUAUAGUUUGAGAUUAACUGGGUGUUAAAGCUUAGUAGGGGGUAAAUCCCGUACGCAUACUGAAACCUUGAACUCAAACUGAAUCUUUGUCGUUCUUUAAGUGCCUUGUUAAACUUGUUUGUAAAGGU